rnacentral:rRNA from 1 species
CCUACGGGUGGCAGCAGUGAGUAAUAUUGGUCAAUGGACGAGAGUCUGAACCAGCCAAGUAGCGUGAAGGAUUACUGCCCUCUGGGUUGUACACUUCUUUUAUAAAGGAAUAAAACGAGGCACGUGUGCCUUUUUGCAUGUACUUUAUGAAUAAGGAUAGGCUAACUCCGUGCCGGCAGCCGCGGUAAUACGGAGGAUCCGAGCGUUAUCCGGAUUUAUUGGUUUUAAAGGGAGCGUAGAUGGGUUGUUAAGUCAGUUGUGAAAGUUUGCGGCUCAACCGUAAAAUUGCAAUUGAUACUGGCAGUCGUGAGUACAGUUGAGGUAGGCGGAAUUCGUGGUGUAGCGGUGAAAUGCUUAGAUAUCACGAAGAACCCCGAUUGCGAAGGCAGCUUACGAAACUGUGACUGACAUUGAUGCUCGAAAGUGUGGGUAGCAAACAGGAGUAGAUACCCGAGUAGUC